ACCCGGCCUACAUGAAGCUGGAAUCGCUAGUAAUCGCAGAUCAGAAUGCUGCGGUGAAUACGUUCCCGGGCCUUGUACACACCGCCCGUCACACCAUGGGAGUCGGUAACACCCGAAGCCUGUAGUCUAACCGCAAGGAGGACGCAGUCGAAGGUGGGAUUGAUGACUGGGGUGAAGUCGUAACAAGGUAAC
rnacentral:rRNA from 1 species